rnacentral:rRNA from 1 species
AUGGCCGCCGGCGACGACCGCCUCUCCGGCCUCAGCGACGACCUCCUGCGCCGCGUCCUCCACUUCGUCCCCGCCAAGGAGGGCGCCUUCACCAGCGCGCUCUCCAGGCGGUGGCGCCCGCUCUGGCGCUCCUGCGGCGCCGUCAACCUCGUCGCCCGCGCCCGCAAGGACGACACCGGCAGCAGCUGGUGCGACCAAGACUUCUACGCUGAUCGCGACGCCUUCGUCUCCGCCGCCCACCAGGCGCUCGACGCCGCCGACCAAGCCGCCGAAGCCGACGGCCACGGUCCUAUCACAAAGCUCGCCAUCCGCGUGGAGGCCCGCCGCCACGACAAGAUCCUUCAUUUCCUUCACCGUGAUGCGGACUAUCACAAUCACAAUCGCAAGGAGCAUGACGUUUUCCGUGCCUUGCUCACCCAUAAAGCGGCGCGCCGCGUCGAGGAGCUCCGGGUGGCCGCGGUGGACACUGUCAAAGGGAAGCCCAUGUACUUCGAGAGGAGCAAGUACGAGGCCAUCGCGAACAUUCAUGGGCUUGGGAUCUAUCCGCUCAGCCUCGGCUCCCUACCGUCGGAGACCCUCCGCGAGCUGGAGCUCACCAACUGCAGCAGCCUCGAGCCGCCCGCCGCCGGCACGUCCUUCCCACGGCUGACGUCGCUGCGGCUGCGACACUGCAAUGCGCCGUUCAAGGAACUCCAGCGCAUCAUCGACGCCGCGCCAUUGCUCGCUGACAUCCACCUUGAGGCCAUCCUUCUCGACGAGGACGCCCGACCGGGCUACCCGCCGCCAAAGGAAGCCACGCUUCGGUCCCUCCGCUGCCCGGCGGCCACCAUGCUCGUGCUGGACAAGUGCUGCUUGAAGAAGAAUGGCACCGUGGGGAUCCACGCUCCGAUGCUGCGCUGCUUUCGGUAUAGAGGGAUCGUCCGGCAUAUCUCGUUGGACCCGCCGCCACAGCAGUUGGCACGGGCGGAACUGACUGUCGUCGACCACGGCGGCCAACGAAACAGAGACCCGUGCCGGAGCUUCUGGGGAACCGUCCGCGGCUUCAGCCACGCCAAGGAGGUGAAGUUGAGGGUGCGCCAUGUGGAGGAGAUCCGAUGUUACUACACCAACGAGGCAAAAGAUAUCAAGCUCGGACGACUCGAGCGCCUCGAACUCCAGGGAGUGUACACGCCCACCGACAGCGCGGUGGCGGAGCUGAUCGCGAACCUGCUCAGCUGCAGCCCGGCCCUCUGCGACCUCCGGAUCGAGCUCAGCACGUCGCACGACGAAACUACCAAGAAAUACCACUACGGGGCCCAAAUCGUGGACAGGAAACGCCGAGCUCAGUUCCAGGAGUCCGUCCGUCGUUUCAAGAGCCGCAGACUGCAGCAGCCGACGGUGGCCGGACCGCCGGAGACGGGGACGACAGACGUUGACUACGACGAGGUCUCUGAUGUGCCUGGCCUCAGUGGCGAGUCGUUCGAAUGCUUGCGCAGCUGCCUAAUAAGAGUCGGCCUGAAGUUCCGGCGGGAGACGACGGACUGCUUUGGAGCCCAGCUCGUCAAAUUCUUCGCCCAAAACGCCAUGGCUCUGGAGACGAUGCUCAUUGACGCUGGAAACGAGAGGAUCCAUGAUCACAUGAAUCUCAAGAUUGAGAAGUGGAUUGCCAAUUCAUCAAAGAGAGGAAGAAGGAUGGACGCAACGAAGGUGCAAGUCUUGCCUCUAAACCUUGCCGUCUUGUCACCAUCGAGCAAUCCUACCCACGGGAUGAAGAUCGCCAAGGUCGCCGGAGCGAGGCAACGAGAGGACCGCCUGAGCACGCUCAGCGACGCCACGCUGGGGCGCAUCCUCUCAUCCCUCCCAUCCAAGGAGGCGGCGCGCGCGGCGGUGCUGUCAACCCGGUGGCGCGACACCUUCACCUGCGUCGACGCCGUGUGGCUGGAGGAGCCUGAGAGCCCCAUCGUCGAGGAGCACGAGGACAACUGCGGCUCCGACUAUGGCCGGCCCGACGACCCCGACCCGAAGCUGCCGUUCACCGCCGCCUACUCCGUCCCGACGAGGCUCUUCUCCUGCGCUGCGCUGCGGACGCUCAGCAUCAGCAUCGGCCCCUGCAGCCUCUCCCCGCCGGCCGCCGUCAGCCUGCCGUCCCUUGAGGUGCUGCUCCUCGCCCGCGUGUCCGACCACGAGCGACACGUACAGAGCCUCGUCGACGGAUGCCCGCGCCUCACCGAUCUCACGCUCGAGACCUGCGCCACGGUGACGACGCUCUCCCUCCUCGGCAACCACCACCUCUGCAGGCUCGCGCUCCGCUGCUGCCACAACCUAGCCAAGGUAUUCAUCGCGGCCGACGGCAAUCUCCACUCCCUGGAGUACCGUGGCGACGUGCCCGACACGUCUCUCCUGGACCUCCAAGGCACCGGCCGUUCGAGUUUCACGUCGUGUUCGAUCGAUAUCUCCGGCAAGGAGGUCUCGUCGGAGGAGCUCACUAAACUCGGAGAGUUCCUGCAGCUAGUCUCCUCCACCAAGCACCUGCACCUGCAAUCCGUACGGCUGGGCUACGACAUACAACUCGACGCUCCAGCGACGUUACCGGUUUUCACCAGCCUCCUUCACCUCAAGCUAACAGGCCGCCUCCUCCACGGCGACGCCACUGACGCCGUGAGCAGGAUACUCGGCCACGCCCCAUCACUUGAGGUGCUUUCGUUGCUCUUUGAAACAGGCCCCGACGACGACGAGUUGCACGCGCGCGAUAGAUGGGAAGAAGAAUGCAAGGUGGGGGAGAUCGUCGACGCGCACCAGCUCAGGUACAACGAGCAUGACGUCCUCGCGACCAUGCCGCCGGUGAGCAUCCCUUGCCUGAGGAGACAUGUGAGGGAGAUCAACUUGGUGCAUUACCACGGCGGGAGCGUGCAGAGGACGCUGGCCCGUUUCCUGCUCUGCAAUGCUUUGGUUCUCGACAAACUCUACUGCGGAUUUGCUCCUGGGCCAUUGUGGAUUCAGACCAAGCUCAGAGACGAGAUCCAAGCCAGCCAAUGCCGAUGCAAACAGUCCACAAAACUAGCCACGCAGCAGAGGAAGCUGUUGAUCGCCAAGAUGAUACUACUACCAAAGCCACAGACGGAUCGACAAAAGCCCAAGAGGAUGACGCUCUUUGCCGUGAAGGCAACGUACUUGCAUCAGAUUGCCGAUUUCCUUUCCGAAGUCAGAGCCACCAACAUAAUCGUCCCAGACCGCACCCCCAAGGAGACAACGCUAAAAUUCUAUGACAUAUUCGGCCAUCUGUUGAAUGUUCUCAAAAAAGAUAGUGUUUCGGGCUUCCUUCGCCUCUUCAAAAAGUAUAGGGGGCACUUGGUUGCUGGAUACGUCAUCACCCCACAAACCCUUGACCUGAUUAUUACAGAGAAUGCCCUGCGCUGUGCUAAGCUUGUUUUGGAGGGGAAGGCGCCUGAGCUCCGUGGGAUGCGCGCCAACCCCAACUACAUGACCAGCUUCGGGUACUUCCCCCUCCACAUAACUGCCCAGAUAUUCUCCGCCGACAUGGUUAAGAUACUGCUCCGCUAUGGUGCAUUGGCUAAUCUACGCACCUGUGAAAGAAUCAUCGAGGGCCUCCUCCCACUUCAUGUUGCCAUCGAGAACACUUGCCAGCACACGUAUCUGGAGGACAAUCUAUUAGCUGAUGAGAGCUACCUGAAGGGGUAUGCCGAGUACAUCUACAGGCUCAUACAUCUGCUUUGCCUUCCUGAGAUGAAGAUCUUCUUGGACACCAUUAGAUUGCUUGCAGCUCACACGGAUAAUGUUGUCGAUGAGCUCUGGAAUUACAUCGAGCAUGGGAAGAUUGUCCCUGCAGCCAUUCUUCUCCUUGCAGCUCAAAGGCGAUUCCAUAAGCUCAAUGGUUUUGAUACGAUCAAGAACCGUAUUGAUGAUUCUAUAUUCUCCCUGAUAAGGGAGGGGUGUGGAUUGCAAAUUGGUAAAAACACCAAGGCAGCAAAGCAGCGGAAGGAGAAGGAAGUACGUUUCUAUAAUGCAUUGUUCCUUGUUAGGAUACUUCUGAAAGCUGGUGAAGCCCUUGAUGAAUAUAUUCAAACUCAUUCAGAGGCAUCUCAUCAGGAGGUCCAUGGAAAAGUUUCAGCAAUUCUUCAGAAUUAUGAUGUUGGUCCUCAUGGAAAAGGAAUUUGCGUUGAAGAGCUUAAAUGCCGCUCCUAUGACUGCGGAGUGCCCAAUAGUGUAUUACAUGGACGCGGGAACAAAGAUUCGACCAAAACAGCCACAGGAUCACCAACUCUGGAUGUCAAGGCAAAAAAAGCUGUGAGAAGGAAACCACGCAGAGGAGAAGACCUCUGGUACUCAAGGGACCAGUUCAUACCGAUAUGGAGGUCGGUGCUGAGCGCACGGUUUAUCACGAGGCUCAUUCCAUCCUAUGUGCCGAAGAAAGAGUUUGCAGAUCUUCAGCCUCAAACUCAAAUCCAGCUUGGCUUGUUGGAGAGAAGUAUUGUCGUUCUGACACCAGUUUCAGGUCCCAAUGAACAAAAUUUUGCAUAA